AACGAGCGCUGGCGGCAUGCCUAACACAUGCAAGUCGAACGAGACCUUCGGGUCUAGUGGCGCACGGGUGCGUAACGCGUGGGAACCUGCCCUUAGGUUCGGAAUAACUCCCCGAAAGGGGUGCUAAUACCGGAUAAUGUCUUCGGACCAAAGAUUUAUCGCCUUUGGAUGGGCCCGCGUUGGAUUAGCUAGUUGGUAGGGUAAAAGCAUACCAAGGCGACGAUCCAUAGCUGGUCUGAGAGGAUGAUCAGCCACACUGGGACUGAGACACGGCCCAGACUCCUACGGAAGGCAGCAGUGGGGAAUAUUGGACAAUGGGCGAAAGCCUGAUCCAGCAAUGCCGCGUGAGUGAUGAAGGCCUGAGGGUUGUAAAGCUCUUUUACCCAGGAUGAUAAUGACAGUACCGGGAGAAUAAGCUCCGGCUAACUACGUG
rnacentral:rRNA from 1 species